rnacentral:rRNA from 1 species
UACGGGGGGGGCAAGCGUUGUUCGGAAUUACUGGGCGUAAAGGGUUUGUAGGUGGCUUGCUAAGUCAGACGUGAAAUCCCUCAGCUUAACUGGGGAACUGCGUCUGAGACUGGCAAGCUUGAGUGCAGGAGGGGAACGCGGAAUUCCAGGUGUAGCGGUGAAAUGCGUAGAUAUCUGGAGGAACACCGGUGGCGAAGGCGGCGUUCUGGACUGUAACUGACACUGAGGAACGAAAGCCAGGGGAGCAAACGGG